rnacentral:lncRNA from 1 species
CUUUAAGGUCUCAGAAGCUCAAGUCAGGGCUAGUGGAGCAACCAAUGUCUCUUCCUCUUGCCUAUGGAUUCAGAUGUAGAACACACAGCUGCAUGUCACCAUACUUCCUGUCUUGAUAAUGGACUAAACCUCUGAACUUACUGACCUGAGGAAGAACCGAACCUGGCUUUCUAAGGAUGCUUUUGGAUGUCUUCGAGCAGGGAUGUUGAAUAUGAUUGUUAUUUACAGUGAAUGCAGGUGCCAGUGGCAGCCAGGGGUGUUGGAUCUGCCUGGAGCUGGAGUUGCAAGCAGUUGUGAAUUGCUUGAUGUGGGUGCUGGGAAUCAAACUCUGGUCCUCUGCAAGAGAGUCUUGGAGCUUUCAUCCUGAAGAGCCUGAACAAACAGCCAAUGAUAGGUGUGGAGCUGCUUGGCCUGGACCAGCCAGCCUUGGAUAGAGCAGAUUGUGACAUCCAAGGUGGAUACAUUGCCUAGCCCAUUGUGGAGUAUUCCUGGACGCCUAUCCAUGCCAGAAACACAUAGAAAUACACUCUCCUGAUUACUGUCCGGUUUCGCCACACGCAAAAGCAGCGAGUGCCAAUACGGUGGGGC